GAUCCUUCCGUAGGUGAACCUGCGGAAGGAUCAUUA
rnacentral:rRNA from 1 species